rnacentral:tRNA from 1 species
GGGGGAUUAAGGUGUAGACAUGACAAAAGGCCAAAGCGCAAAGUCAUGGACAUGGGUUCGAGUCCCAUAUCCUCCACCA